GGAGGUGUAGCUCAGUGGGAGAGCACUUGUCUGGCAUGCAUGAAGCCCUGGGUUCAAUCCCCAGUGCUGUAA
rnacentral:tRNA from 1 species